AAGCCAAUGAUGAUUUCUGUUUCUGUUGGAAUUACCGGCUGAAUACUUUACAUUGAUGUCAAUUCUUACUGGCUGUAUCUGAGGCUUCCA